rnacentral:sRNA from 1 species
GCUGGGCAUGGUGGUGCAUUCCUGUAAUCCAGUGGCUGGGAAGGCUGAGGCAGGAGGAUCAUGAAUUCAAAUCCAGCCUCAG